rnacentral:rRNA from 1 species
UGAGGAAUCUUCCACAAUGGGCGAAAGCCUGAUGGAGCAACGCCGCGUGCAGGAUGAAGGCCUUCGGGUCGUAAACUGCUUUUAUAAGUGAAGAAUAUGACGGUAACUUAUGAAUAAGCACCGGCUAACUACGUGCCAGCAGCCGCGGUCAUACGUAGGGUGCAAGCAUUAUCCGGAGUGACUGGGCGUAAAGAGUUGCGUAGGUGGCUAAGUUAGCGAAUAGUGAAAUCUGGUGGCUCAACCACACAGACUAUUAUUCGAACUGCUUGGCUCGAGAGUAGCAGAGGUAACUGGAAUUUCUAGUGUAGGAGUGAAAUCCGUAGAUAUUAGAAGGAACACCAAUGGCGUAGGCAGGUUACUAGGCUAUUUCUGACACUGAGGCACGAAAGCGUGGGGAGCGAACCGG